GGCUGAGGUCAAGAUCCAGAAAACUGGAAACCAGAGGAAAUUAGGUUGCUAGGAUGCAGGAAUUGUUUAUUAUGCUCUCAGCCUUAAUUAGGUGUAAGUAACAUCUUGUCAGUGUCCUGCCACAUAUGCUAAAGCUAUUGGGGCAAUUUUACCAAGUCUGACAGCUGAAAUCAGAAACAAGAGCAUCAACAUGUCAAUGAUGAGGCCGGACAUGAUGGGGCCUCCUGAGGCCAACUGGACACAUGAGGAUUUCUGCACCGAUGCACUGGAGGAGCAAUUGAGAGAAGACGAGAACAAGGAAAUUGCUGAUUUUGGUAUAAUUUCUACAAAUAGAUCUAUUGAGAUUUAAAAGGUGCAAUAGCUUGACAUUUUUUGGUACGUUAAAAACUGCUUAAAAAUUGGUUUGCAGGCUGUUUCUUUUUCCAUCUCGGCCCUAGGCUAUUUUCAAAAUGAAAAGAAUGGGAUCAAACCCUGAAAAUGGAGGUGGAAUUGAAGGGAUAAUAAAAUUUUGAAGAAGACAAAGAGGGAAGUGAUAAUCUUUUGAAAGUGUUAGAGGCACACUUAGGAUAGCAAGUUUCUCAGAGGGGAAAAAAACAAAGGCAAGGAAAAGGAACUUUGGCUCAAGACAGUGGCCCGUAACUGCAUAACUGCUUGGUCCACACAAUAGGGCCUCCUGCCCAGACCCAGGGAACACUCUCUGGAAGGAGUGGGGGC
rnacentral:lncRNA from 1 species